rnacentral:ncRNA from 1 species
ACCGCCAGGAUCUUGGCAAUAUAGGGAAUCAGCGGCAGGUUCAGGAUCAACAGCACCAGAUUGCCGAUAUACAUCGAGAUGAUCACCGCCCAGAAAAUCUCGGGCUUAUCCACCAUCAGGCGCGGGCC